CAGAAUCCCGCCUAGACGUAACGAUACCAUAGCGCCGCGGACCUUCGGUUGGCCCCGGAUAGCCGGCUUCGGUCGGUGAGUAGAGCCGUUCGUGACAGGGCUGGGGUGCGGCCGGAUGAUGGUCGCCCCUCUCCUAUCUCGCACCGCAUGUUUGUGGAGAACCUGGUGCUAAAUCACUUGCAGACGACCUGAUUCUGGGUCAGGGUUUCGUACGUAGCAGAGCAGCUCCCUCGCUGCGAUCU
rnacentral:rRNA from 1 species